CGUAAAGACAUGAAUUAAUUAGUGUUUUCUCUGAGCCUCCUGUCGGACCGCUUCUGGCAAACUCCCAGCGGGCAACUUCCAACUGACUGUUAAUUUAGUUUUGCUGCGCCUCCUUCUCAGACACGAUGCCCUGAAGCUGGGGAAGCACUUCGCUCAGGAGACCAACUGCUCCGUGAGCGACUUCGUCUGCCUGCUGUCUCUCAGUCCACAGGCCAUCCUGACUGCGCAGAUGAAAACCAGUAGGGCGCCACGCACCCCGUCAUCAAAGCAGCACUCAAUUCGACAUGUUUAUCUGCAACAAACAUUUACUGGAAAACAUGUACAGGCCACUCAAAAAUGUGUAUGAUUCAUGUGGGUUUUGGAUUUAUGUCUCAGACUUUAUAAUGCGGCAAUGAAAAACUUCUUUCUGGUCAUAUUACAAAGUUUGGAACAACUCAUUGAUAAACCUCAUUUUAAAUUGUUAAUUUCAUUAAUUAAAAGCCAAUUUAACAUUGAAUUUAAAUAUGAAUUAAAAAGCACACAUACUUAACUCUCUGCCCUCUAUUGAUAACUUUCUGUUUCACAACAUAAUAUAAACAUUACUGUCUCAAAUGUUUUCACUAUGCAAGAUUUGAUGCUGUCUAAAUAUACACGAAUCUAUUUAGUUUUCUUGGUUUGGCUGCACUAUACUUUCAUGUCUGGUUCUAUCUCAGGCGCCAAGAUUGUGAAUCCGUUUCGGUUUCUGGAGGUUUUUGAAACGUGGGGUCCAUUUAUCGACGAGGAGCUGAUCAAAGAGCAGCCAAUCACGGCCUUCCAGAAGGGCCACUGGCAAAAUGAGAAGUCGGUGCUGAUGGGUACAACCUCAGAGGAAGGGGUGCUCUUCGUGUUCGGGGUUUUUAACAAACCAGUUUCUGCCUUGGAGAGCGUGGUCUACAUCACUGCUAUCUUCAAACAGCACGCUCUGAGGGUCCUGCACAAAUACCUGCCCCUGUACAGAGACCCCGACCGCAGGACCAUGCUGGCUCAGAUUGUCACCGAUUAUGUGUUCCUGUGUCCAUCCAGGAGGUCGGCGCGGGCCGGCACAGUAGCUGGCAGCCACCUGUGGAUGUACACGUUCGACCACGUGGCGUCGGACCACAGCGUGUGGUCGGGUCUCACGUUCUGCUACCAGCAUGUCUGCCACGGGGCGGAGCUGCCCUUCCUCUUUGACUCCGCCCAAGUGGCCAACUACACUCUGUCCCUUGCGCAGAGAAGCUGCUGUCCAAUCGGAUGCUGUGCUACUGGGGAGCCUUCACCCACACAGGUGACCCGUCCUCCCGGCUUCAGCAGACGACCUUCUGCCGGGAGCAACGUCUGCCAGUUUGGCCGCAAUACUCUGACCCCAGGGGGUGGCUCGUCAUGAACCUGACGGUGCAGUUACAUGCACAGGUGGAAACCAGAGGACACAUAUGUGACUUCUGGGACCAGCUUGGAAUCUACUAAAGCAAAAACAACCUGGGCUUUUAUACAUUAGAUAUUGUACUUGUAUCUGUAUUUUUAUUUUUAUUUUUUUGGUGAAAAUUAGAAAAAAAAAUGUAUUCUUACUCUAUUAAAUUUAGUGGAUGAUUUUAUACAUUUGUAUUUAACUUUCUUUUUACUUAGCAGAUCAAUCUUUACUUGACCUGUGUGAUAAACACAAGCUUUUCCUGUCUUUAACUGGCAAGUUCUGUGCUUCACAGAGCUAGUCUAGAGUGAAACUGUUUAUGAUGGAAAAUGUUUAGGACAAAGCCUGGGCUCUGAAUAAAAUACACAUUAAAAAAAUAUUGUUAUCCAAGACGACAUAAAAAAUACAUCAAUUACAAAAUAAAAAAUGAAUCCCAAGGUUUUUUUUUUGUUGGUAGUUUUAUUCGUCAAAUUUGAUGGCUUCUAAUUUCCAGACAGAUUCCUUUCUUUAAUGAGAGGUGAAAACAGUUUCUGUAGCUCUCCACCUGGCGAGGCUAACAGUAACACAGAUUUUUAAAAAAGCGAC
rnacentral:lncRNA from 1 species